GCCGGGAUGCUGAAAUUGGUAUACAGGCACGCUUGAGGGGCGUGUGCCGCAAGGCAUGGAGGUUCAAGUCCUCUUCCCGGCACUA
rnacentral:tRNA from 1 species